rnacentral:tRNA from 1 species
AGAAGAUUAGUUAAAUAAUAACAUUAAUAUGUCAUAUUAAAAUUAUUAAAUUCUUAAUAUAUUCUA